rnacentral:rRNA from 1 species
UACAGAGGGGGCAAGCGUUGUUCGGAAUUACUGGGCGUAAAGGGCGCGUAGGCGGCCUGUUAAGUCGAACGUGAAAUCCCCGGGCUCAACCCGGGAACUGCGUCCGAUACUGGCAGGCUUGAAUUCGGGAGAGGGAUGUGGAAUUCCAGGUGUAGCGGUGAAAUGCGUAGAUAUCUGGAGGAACACGGUGGCGAAGGCGGCAUCCUGGACCGAUAUUGACGCUGAUG